UACGGAGGGUGCAAACGUUGCUCGGAAUCCAUUGGGCGUAAAGCGCGUGUAGGCGGUUCGGUAAGUCCGCUGUGAAAGUCGAGGGCUCAACCCUCGAAUGCCGGUGGAUACUGUCGGGCUAGAGUGCGGAAGAGGCGAGUGGAAUUCCUGGUGUAGCGGUGAAAUGCGCAGAUAUCAGGAGGAACACCGAUGGCGAAGGCAGAUCUCUGGGCCGUAAGCUGACGCUGAGGAGCGAAAGCAUGGGGAGCGAACA
rnacentral:rRNA from 1 species